AUCUUGCACCUGCAAAAGAAGGGUAGGAAAAAAAGGAAAAAGAAUACAGCUGUUCAGUGAUCUUGCAUUUACUUUCGUAGAUUUGAUAUAAGGAUGUGUUGUAAUUCUGAAUCGAAGUUUUCGAUAGUACAACAAAUAUGGUAUGAAAAUUUGAAUAUCUACUCGUGAAAAAAAGGGGUACAUGCCAGUUACCUCCGGUUACUUAGUAGAAUUUAUGAACUUACUCAGACAUGUAUACAUAAAUGAUACAGAUUUUGUCAUGAGGUAAAAGAUGUGAUAUAUAUGGCCAAAUAUAGCACAAGAUCAACUCUCUUGUAGCCACAAACUGGGAAAAUAAAGGAAUAUUCUUCCCCAACUAUUCUAUAGCAAAAGUUCAAUCAUUUCUCACCAUGGCGGUGUUUAAUUUGGAGGUAUUGUCUCGAAUCAAAGAUCAUUAUGGUAGGAACAGGCGGAAUAAAGGCAAAAAGUGCACAUAAUUUUGAGUAGGCUGAAAUGCUCUCAGAGGUCAGUCUCUUUCAAAAGGUUGCAAGGGCAUAGUACGGAUUGGAUAGAUGCAGUUAAAGUACCAGAGAAUAUUUCCACACACGAGAUAAAAAACAACAAGACAAAUUUUCGCAUUGUGCAUCAAAAAGCAAUCUUUCAUGCUACAAAUGUAUUAUCUACAGAUAUCAAAAGAAAGGAAUGUAGUGUAACGAUUCCAGGAAAUCUUAUCCAUAACAUGGGUCAGUUGCCUAUCUGGACGUUCUGUUUCACUCUUAAACUAUGAUUCUGGUUUUUCAAUUUAAUAUAUGUCAGGAUUUCUAAAUGAUGUUAGUCCGUUGUUUUGAUGGGACAUUACAAGCGCUUUCGCUUCCAAAAUAAUGUAGGCUUUUUGGAAAUGAGCAAUUUCAAGUCUCUUUGAAAUUUGGAUGAAACGAGGAAGCACAUUUCCAGGCUAUAUCAUGAUUAAGAGAUUUUUCGGAUCCUUUUAGAGCAAAGAGUGAACUUCUCUUAGAUUUUGGGAUUACGCUUGCAUGCAAAUUUGAUGGUGAUUGGUGAUUACUAUUCAUUCCUGUAGUUUUUAUUUUUAACGAGAGGAUUUCUUCUGCUCAUCACUUAUAAAUAUUCUCUCAUUUUCAUAACGUCUUAUUUUAUGGUGAAAGAUGAUACGAAUGAACAGAGCUUAUUAAAAUACUUCUACAAAUUUUAGAACGUUUCGUUCAGGAUAAUUUCAUAUUUUAUUUGACAUGGCAAUUAGAGCUGAUUUCAAAUAUUUCUAUUUCGGGCUUUAUUAUUUUUUAUUGUAUUAAUGACAACCUUGAUUGUCAAAUAUUUCUCUAAGACAUGGAAUUCUCAUCCCUAAUUUCCCCACAAAUGGUUGGUUCUCCCAUUUCCCUUUCCUCCUUUCCUCUCUCUUUAGUUUUAUUUUCUGUUCUGCGCCUUCGCUAGAACAAAAGAUUGUCAGAACUUAAUUCUAAAGAUUCCUUACAGAAUGCACAUGAAUCAAUAAUUUUCAGAAUAUAAAAUGAGGACCGCAAAAUCAUUGGUAUUUAAGGAUCAGAAAUGAACCUUCAAUUAAUAAUUAUAGGAUUGCUGUAUUUUCUUUUCUGCCUUCUUGCUUUCCUUAAAAUUCUGGCAGUUUCUUGCUUGGCCUCUUCUAUGGAAUAGUAACGUACAUCUUUUCCUACAUGUUGAUAUAAAUAACAUCAAAUUAAAGACUAAAAUUCAGUACACAAAACGGACUAAUCUGUAUGCGAAAUAAAGCACGUCGAAUUGUGCCAGUGAACGGAACUACUGAAAGUAAAAUUUGCAUUUGAAAGGUUUUUUUCUCUCCUCAUACUACUAGCUAUCGUAGGAACGCAUUUUUUUCAUGUGCUUUUAGAAUGGCUCGUUGCUUUUGCACACUAGAAUACUACUCCACUGAAACAAGAAUGUGUAGCUUAAAGGAUAAACAGGAGAAAACUCUAAAAAUAAAAUCAAAGUAAUUUUUAUGAAUCAAAAGUUACCUUUAGAAGCUAAAGAAAGCAUAAGCUCAACUGGUAUAUGAGUAUGAGGUCUAUAGUUCAAAUAACCCUACUCCAGUUAUACUAAAAAGAAGUUAUCAUAAGACAAUGUCUCGGUAUAUAAAGAUUUGGAAAGUAAAAUCUAAUCCUAAUCCUGAUAUGUGGAGGAUUUGUACAGCAUGCUCUAUUUUAAGCUAAUCCUCCCGUACCACUUUCCAAUAUCUAGGGAAGACAAACUUGUCCUGAACUUGUGUCCAACAUAUCUACAGUUGCAAAAACCUAGACACAUUUUAACUACGUCCGACUGCCUCAAUAAAUGCUCAAGCUUCUCUCCUUUAUAGCAGUCAGAUGCUGCUGAGCACUUUGGGUGGUUUUAUUGAAUCUAAAAAUCAAGUUAGUUUCGGUUAGACUAAUCUAAAAUAGACUUAAAUCUUAUAUGACCUACUCUGCCAAAAAUCAGAAUCCUAUCCUUCCAAGGACAAGGUUCUGAGCACUUGAAAUGAAUAGAAUAAAUAACAAAUAACAAAUAACAAUAUUUUAUGUAGGUCAGCCGAGCCAUUUUUUUUUUUUCCUUCUAAUAGUUGCAUCAUAUCAUUAUUUCUUUGUUCCGUCUUGUUCAUUUCUCAUAUGAGUUACAUGCUACUCUAUUUGCAUGUGAAGAAGAUGUGAUUGGCAUAUUUAAAUUUACACAAUUUAUAUUAUC